rnacentral:rRNA from 1 species
UGGGGAAUAUUGCGCAAUGGGCGAAAGCCUGACGCAGCGACGCAGCGUGAGGGACGAAGGCCUUCGGGUUGUAAACCUCUUUCAGCGGGGACGAAGCGAAAGUGACGGUACCCGCAGAAGAAGCACCGGCUAACUACGUGCCAGCAGCCGCGGUAAUACGUAGGGUGCAAGCAUUGUCCGGAUUUAUUGGGCGUAAAGAGCUCGUAGGCGGCUUGUCACGUCGGGUGUGAAAACUUGGGGCUCAACCCCAAGCCUGCACUCGAUACGGGCUAGCUAGAGUGUUGCAGGGGAGACUGGAAUUCCUGGUGUAGCGGUGAAAUGCGCAGAUAUCAGGAGGAACACCGGUGGCGAAGGCGGGUCUCUGGGCAACUACUGACGCUGAGGAGCGAAAGCGUGGGGAGCGAACA